UACGUAGGGUGCAAGCGUUAAUCGGAAUUACUGGGCGUAAAGCGUGCGCAGGCGGUUUGUCGCGUCGGGAGUGAAAUCCAUUGGCUUAACUGGUGGCUUGCUUUCGAUACGGGCAGACUGGAGGUAUGCAGGGGAGAACGGAAUUCCUGGUGUAGCGGUGAAAUGCGUAGAUAUCUGGAGGAACACCGGUGGCGAAGGCGACAUCCUGGACCGGUAUUGACGCUGAGGCGC
rnacentral:rRNA from 1 species